ACGGCACAGAGUUUUACCCGCAUGGACCUGUGCCGGGCAGGACACGGGAGCUGGCGUCCGCCUCGUCGAGGCGAGUGUCACAGGGAAGCCUGUUCUGGAUCCCUCACCUGAGGUCCAAGGCACUGAGCUACGCCCGGCUGGGGGCACAGGGCUGGGCCGAACUUUUCAGAAAGAGGGGAUGGCUCAGCAUGGGAGAGACUGACAGCAAUCAGCACCUCUUGGAAGACUUGGCCCAGAACCUCGCAGGAAACGGGCAAAGGCCUUUCAGAUCGAUCUGGAACCGACACAAGCACACUGAAUCACCACGAAGGUGGGUGGUGAGACAGACCCCCUUAGAAAGGGAGACUGAGGCACAUGAAGAAUGACCUCCUGUGUCUUGGAAAAACAUGGUGAGGCGGUCGAAACCACUUUUCUGCUUUGUCGCAAACAUAGACCAAAGUGGUGACGGAGCCCUGAAGACCAAAGAGCGUGGAGAGGCUGCUAUGACCUCACAGCCCAGGUAAGUCUUAAAAAGCCAUGGUACCCAAUGGAAUACUACGUGCCAAUGAGAAAGAAUGAAAUCUGGCCCUUUGCAGCAACGUGGUUGGAACUGAAGAGUGUUGUACUAAGUGAAAUAAGCCAUACAGAGAAAGACAGAUACCAUAUGUUUUCACUGUUAUGUGGAUCCUGAGACACUUAACAGAAGACCAUGGGGGAGGGGAAGGGGAAAAAAAAGUUAUAAAGAGGGAAGGAGGCAAACCAUGAGAGACUCUUAAAAACUGAGAACAAACUGAGGGUUGGUGGGGGGUGGGAGGGAGGGGAGGGUGGGGGAGGGGCAUUGAGGAGGGCACCUGUUGGGAUGAGCACUGGGGUUGUAUGGAAACCAAUCUGACAACAAAUUUCAUGUUAAAAAAAAAAAAAAAGCCAUGGUAACCUGACAAAAUGCGGUGUGCUUGCCUAGCCUGGGUCCUGGGGACUGAAAGUCCAUUUUUAUAGAAAACGUGGUUUAUUCCAAGUAAGAUCCUCAGUUUAGUUAAUAGUCAUGUGCCAAGGUCAAUUCCUUAGUUCUGACAACUACACUGUGAUCAUGGAAGAUCCGUAAAGGGCAUGCUACGGGAACGCUAAUAUUUUUGGAACUUGCUUGUUAAAGCUAAAAUUUACCCAAAAUAAAUUUAAUAUUAAAAAAAAUGUAGGCCUUGGA
rnacentral:lncRNA from 1 species